GACGAACGCUGGCGGCGUGCCUAAUACAUGCAAGUCGAACGCAGUGGGGACGGGUGAGUAACACGUGGGUAACCUCCCAUCAGAGGGGAUAACACUUGGAAACAGGUGCUAAACCGAUACGGAUGGGUGGACCCGCGGUGCAUUGGCUAGUUGGUGAGGUAACGGCUCACCAAGGCCACGCUGCAUAGGCGGCCCGAGAGGGGGAGCGGCCACACUGGGACGGAGACACGGCCCAGACUCCUACGGGAGGCAGCAGUGGGGAAUCUUCGGCAAUGGACGAAAGUCUGACCGAGCCACGCCGCUUGAGUGAAGAAGGUUUUCGGAUCGUAAAACUCUGUUGUUAGAGAAGCGGUAUCUAACCAGAAAGCCACGGCUAACUACGUGCCAGCCGCCGCGGUAAUUC
rnacentral:rRNA from 1 species